UAGUCGUGGAAGGGGUGUCUGGUUUUAACCAAAAAAAAAAAAGAAAAAAGGACAGGGUGUAUGCUAUCUGGUGUCGGAUCUUCUAGUUCCUUACUCGCAGAGUUCAUUCUUGGUCCACCACAUACCAACCUUUCUUGCAAAAACUUAAUUAAACAAGAAGUAUCCCAAAUCCCAAGGCACCGAGUCGAAAAAAAGAAGCCCGUCGCAUUGAAUAUUUAUUUUGCUGACAAAAAAAAAAAAGCAUUGAAUAUUUGAAAUCGCAGAUCACAAGUAGGAAAACGAAAAGCCUUCAUUGACACUCAACCCUCGACACCCGUAACCCCUCUUCCCCUUUCUAUCCCCCUGCCCUCUCUGUGACGCCGGUUCUAAUUUUUUCCUGUAUUGCAGAUUCUGUGCUUCAUUCUCUGCGUCGCCGGACGGGUGGGUCUGAACUACGUUGUGGAACUUCUUGUGGUGGCAGGCAAUGGCUGAGGAUGCUAACCAUGGCCAACUUGGUGAAGAAAGCUCUGCAAUGUCUACUGACAAUAAAAAAGAGAGCGGUAAUGUAAAAAAGCAACGGAAAGGAAUACUGUCUCGAAUUUGGAAUGGACUAUUUAGGAUACGCGGUGAGGAUUUUGAGAAAAGAUUGCAACACAUUUCCAAGGAAGAAGCUUCUCUUCUUGCACGAAUGAAGGACAGAUCUCAGAACUGGCGGACGGUGGCAAAGCUUAUUACAUAUUCCUCUGUACUGUUGGAGGUGAGUCAAUUUGGUCCCUUUUAUUGGGUUAAAAGUCUGAUUAUGUAAUGGAAGUUAGGAAUGUCAGAUGAUGUGUUUUUUAGAAUUAUUAGCAUCAACAAAGUUAAUGAAUCGUUUGCAACUGUUCAGUGUACAUGAGAUGAUUAAUUCAAUCCCUUUCAAUUGUUCUCAUGCA